UGGGGAAUUUUGGACAAUGGACGCAAGUCUGAUCCAGCCAUUCCGCGUGCAGGACGAAGGCCUUCGGGUUGUAAACUGCUUUUGUACAGAACGAAAAGGUCUCUAUUAAUACUAGGGGCUCAUGACGGUACUGUAAGAAUAAGCACCGGCUAACUACGUGCCAGCAGCCGCGGUAAUACGUAGGGUGCAAGCGUUAAUCGGAAUUACUGGGCGUAAAGCGUGCGCAGGCGGUUAUAUAAGACAGAUGUGAAAUCCCCGGGCUCAACCUGGGAACUGCAGUUGUGACUGUAUAGCUGGAGUGCGGCAGAGGGGGAUGGAAUUCCGCGUGUAGCAGUGAAAUGCGUAGAUAUGCGGAGGAACACCGAUGGCGAAGGCAAUCCCCUGGGCCUGCACUGACGCUCAUGCACGAAAGCGUGGGGAGCAAACAGGAUUAGAUACCCUGGUAGUCCACGCCCUAAACGAUGUCAACUGGUUGUUGGGUCUUCACUGACUCAGUAACGAAGCUAACGCGUGAAGUUGACCGCCUGGGGAGUACGGCCGCAAGGUUG
rnacentral:rRNA from 1 species